UACGAAGGGGGCUAGCGUUGCUCGGAAUCACUGGGCGUAAAGCGCACGUAGGCGGAUUGCUAAGUCAGGGGUGAAAUCCUGGAGCUCAACUCCAGAACUGCCUUUGAUACUGGCGACCUUGAGUCCGGGAGAGGUGAGUGGGAACUGCGAGUGUAGAGGUGAAAUUCGUAGAUAUUCGCAAGAACACCAGUGGCGAAGGCGGCUCACUGGCCCGGUACUGACGCUGAGGUGCGAAAGCGUGGGGAGCAAACAGGG
rnacentral:rRNA from 1 species